GUGCCAGCAGCCGCGGUAAGACGAACCAUGCAAACGUUAUUCGGAAUUACUGGGCUUAAAGCGUGCGUAGGCGGCUCAGAAAGUUGGGUGUGAAAUCCCUCGGCUUAACCGAGGAAUUGCGCCCAAAACUACUGGGCUCGAGGGAGUUAGAGGUGAGCGGAACUCACGGUGGAGCGGUGAAAUGCGUUGAUAUCGUGAGGAACACCGGAGGCGAAAGCGGCUCACUGGGGCUUCACUGACGCUGAGGCACGAAAGCUAGGGGAGCAAACGGGAUUAGAUACCCCAGUAGUCC
rnacentral:rRNA from 1 species